rnacentral:sRNA from 1 species
AGAUGAGGAAUUCUAAAGAUAACCUAGCAAAGGGGGCGAUCUACUAAACCAUAUGAAUCCCUAAUGAGAAACCCUAUUC